rnacentral:lncRNA from 1 species
UUAAAGAAAUAGGUUAACAAAAUCAAUGUACGAACAACACAACAUAAAACGAAAAAAAUCAUAAUGAUAUUUUGUCCUAAUUAAACAAUAUUUUAAUGAAGUUAAAAAAUCAUAUCAAUAAUUUACCCUAAUUGAAAAUACGUUAACAAAAUCAAACAUACCAGCGAGAGGUAAACAGAGGGGUUUUCAUGGAGCAAAUCUCGUAGAUCUUGAUCUAUGUCACGACGAGAGGUAAACAGAGGGGUUUUCAUGGAGCAAAUCUUGUAGAUCUUGAUCUAUGUGACGAGUGAGAAAAUCUUGUAGAUCUUGAUCUCUGUACGCAAAGACGUUAGGUUGAACUCUUGUGAAGAGGAAGAAUGCGAAGAUGAUGUUCAUUUUCACCCGUGGUUU